GGCGUCGUACCCAAGUGGCUAAGGGAGCAGUCUGCAAAACUGUUAUUCACCAGUUCGAAUCUGGUCGACGCCUCAA
rnacentral:tRNA from 1 species